UCCAGAUCCCCUAUAAAAGAGGUCUUCCUUCACCGAUCCUCAUUCGCCUUGGGUUCUUGACUCUCCCUGUGCUUCAGCCAAAGUUGCUCAGUUCAAGCUCCAGAAGGAUGUCCGGAAAGGAUCACCAACAGAAGAAGCAACAGUGUUGCAUCCCACCUGCUGUGGUCCAGAAGCCUUGUCCUAAACCUGCCCCAGAAAACCGUGUCAUUCACCGUCCCUCAUCAAACAGGUCCUGUUGUCUUUCUUCUCCCUCCUCCCCCUCUUCUCACUCCUCCCACCACAAUAAGGAGCACCACCACCACCACGAAGUCAAGGUGAAGAAGCACUAUUGAGAUGCCUCAGAGAUCUCCAGGAACAGUGGAACCAAGUCCCAGCCCUCCGUCGGUACCGAGAAGGUUGCCCUUGGCUCACAUCCUGAUUUCUUAAGUCCCUGCAUCUUCUGCUUUCCCCUCCCUUGGUCCUUUGCCUUGCCUCGCCUUGUCUCCAGGAUCUGGACAUCUUCUCCCAUCAUGACCAGGGCGAUCUGCAUUCAAUGGAGCUCAGUCUUGUGCAGUGAGAACUUUCCAUCACCUCCAUAGAAUCAUGGAGCGUUCUGUAAUGUGGAUGUUUAGGUCCUUAUUGGGAAUGUUCAAUGCUCUAGUCAUAUUUCACCAAGGCAUACAUGGGUAUGUCGUCUGACAUGGAGAUACUCCACUCACAGCUUGUAGUCAACCAUUCCCUUGAUGUCAUCCUGGCUUCCCUUUGCUUAGUUUCCCAUGCUUCCCUGCAAUAAACCUUUGCAAUUCAUCACAACAA